GAUGAACGCUGGCGGCGUGCCUAAUACAUGCAAGUCGAGCGAACGGACGAGGAGCUUGCUCCUUUGACGUUAGCGGCGGACGGGUGAGUAACACGUGGAUAACCUACCUAUAAGACUGGGAUAACUUCGGGAAACCGGAGCUAAUACCGGAUAAUAUAUUGAACCGCAUGGUUCAAUAGUGAAAGACGGUUUUGCUGUCACUUAUAGAUGGAUCCGCGCCGCAUUAGCUAGUUGGUAAGGUAACGGCUUACCAAGGCAACGAUGCGUAGCCGACCUGAGAGGGUGAUCGGCCACACUGGAACUGAGGCACGGUCCAGACUCCUACGGGAGGCAGCAGUAGGGAAUCUUCCGCAAUGGGCGAAAGCCUGACGGAGCAACGCCGCGUGAGUGAUGAAGGUCUUCGGAUCGUAAAACUCUGUUAUUAGGGAAGAACAAAUGUGUAAGUAACUAUGCACGUCUUGACGGUACCUAAUCAGAAAGCCACGGCUAACUACGUG
rnacentral:rRNA from 1 species